rfam:Omnitrophica WOR_2 bacterium RIFOXYA2_FTLL_38_17 rifoxya2_full_scaffold_271, whole genome shotgun sequence.
GGCGUGGUGGCCGAGGGGUUAGGCAGUGGUCUGCAAAACCACGUACACCGGUUCAAAUCCGGUCCGCGCCU